AGCGAACGCUGGCGGCAGGCCUAACACAUGCAAGUCGAACGAACCUUUCGGGGUUAGUGGCGGACGGGUGAGUAACACGUGGGAACGUGCCUUUAGGUUCGGAAUAACUCAGGGAAACUUGUGCUAAUACCGAAUGUGCCCUUCGGGGGAAAGAUUAAUCGCCUUUAGAGCGGCCCGCGUCUGAUUAGCUAGUUGGUUGAGGUAAUGGCUCACCAAGGCCACGAUCAGUAGCUGGUCUGAGAGGAUGAUCAGCCACAUUGGGACUGAGACACGGCCCAAACUCCUACGGGAGGCAGCAGUGGGGAAUCUUGCGCAAUGGGCGAAAGCCUGACGCAGCCAUGCCGCGUGAAUGAUGAAGGUCUUAGGAUUGUAAAAUUCUUUCACCGGGGACGAUAAUGACGGUACCCGGAGAAGAAGCCCCGGCUAACUUCGUG
rnacentral:rRNA from 1 species